UACGUAGGGUGCGAGCGUUGUCCGGAAUUAUUGGGCGUAAAGAGCUUGUAGGCGGUUUGUCGCGUCUGCUGUGAAAACUCGAGGCUUAACCUCGAGCUUGCAGUGGGUACGGGCAGACUAGAGUGUGGUAGGGGAGACUGGAAUUCCUGGUGUAGCGGUGAAAUGCGCAGAUAUCAGGAGGAACACCGAUGGCGAAGGCAGGUCUCUGGGCCACUACUGACGCUGAGAAGCGAAAGCAUGGGGAGCAAACAGG
rnacentral:rRNA from 1 species